GACGAACGCUGGCGGCGUGCCUAAUACGUGCAAGUCGAGCGGACAGAAGGGAGCUUGCUCCCGGAAGUCAGCGGCGGACGGGUGAGUAACACGUGGGCAACCUGCCUGUAAGACUGGGAUAACUUCGGGAAACCGGAGCUAAUACCGGAUAGGUUCUUCCUCCGCAUGGGGGAAGCUGGAAAGACGGUUGCGGCUGUCACUUACAGAUGGGCCCGCGGCGCAUUAGCUAGUUGGUGGGGUAAUGGCCCACCAAGGCGACGCUGCGUAGCCGACCUGAGAGGGUGAUCGGCCACACUGGGACUGAGACACGGCCCAGACUCCUACGGGAGGCAGCAGUAGGGAAUCUUCCGCAAUGGACGGAAGUCUGACGGAGCAACGCCGCGUGAGCGAAGAAGGCCUUCGGGUCGUAAAGCUCUGUUGUUAGGGAAGAACAAGUGCCAGAGUAACUGCUGGCACCUUGACGGUACCUGACCAGAAAGCCACGGCUAACUACGUGCCAGCCGCCGCCGUAA
rnacentral:rRNA from 1 species